CUACACACUUUUGACUUGCCUCAAAAAGAGAUGGGGGAUGGCUAAAACCUACUGACAACUUCCAUUUUUGAGUAAUUACUUUGUCCAUUAAUCUGCUAAGCUCUUUAAAAAGGUUAAUUAAUUUAAUCCUAUGGUGACCGAAUGACACAAGCGUAUUUAUUCCCCUAUUAUUACAGGAAUCGGAUCUGAAGGUGAAUGACUAGGUGUGUCGUGCAUCUGACAUACCUCAUAAGUAUUAGAAGUGGGAUUCGACUGCAGGAGGGCCGGUUUCUUAAGAAAGACACGUGACCAUCUGGAGAGGUUUCCAUGAAGGCAGAAGGAGAAGAGAAUUGAUGGCAAUACUGUAACUAAUACUGAUGAUAACAAUCAGAAGAUAAGAAAAGAGGAAUAAAUCUUGGUGGUGAAGAAAUAGAAGCACAGAUAAAUUUCAUAGCUCCGCCCCCAUCCUAAAUUCCAGCUGCAAGUCCAGUGAUGGACCAAAAAUUUGGUAUAAGGAAGUUCUUGUGGCAUAAAAAAUAGAGGGAAACUGAAGAUCUGGUCAACAUGCCUGUAGGUGGAACCAGCAUCUGUGCACAGGAAAGCCUGGACACGGAGGAAAGGGGUGAUGCUACCAAGAAGGGCAGGGAAGCUAGGGGGAAAGCUCAUGGGGCUUUGGACGAGGCCCAGGAGGGGAGCCCUUUGCCUCUAGGAUGGGAGGAAAACAAGCAAAUGGGAAAACAUGAAGGGAUGUUUAAAGAUAGCUGAGAUCAUAACAAUGUGCUCAGUGGAAUAGGACAUCAUAUUCUGGGCCAGCUUAUGAUUUAAUGCAACGAAGAGUGAACAUAAAACAAAUAGAAGGGUUCCCACACAGCAGAGAGAGCAGAAACCUUGGGACCAGAGAUCACCACAGUGGUCCUGGACAACAGGCAAGCAAGCCAAGAACUCCACAGUGCAGACAGAUGGAAGACUCAGAAUGGCGGCCACAGCACUGGGGCAGGGCCAGGGGCACAGGUGGGCACACGAGUAUGUUCCCAAAGCAUCCUGUUCUCCUCUCAUGACCUCGCCACACUUCCUGGGGUUACUUAUUGGAGAUCUUUUACCAGUUGCUGUAGUCUCUGUGGGGCAGGAACUGGGACUCUCCCACUAACUGCUGUAUUCCCAGCACACAGCACACCUGGGCUAGGACACACGCUUUGGAUAUGGGAUUUUCUCCCCAUUUCCCAUCAGCCCCGAAGCAGACUUUUCAUGUUCUCAUGGAGAAAGAUUGCCGAAGUCCUUCAUAAUCAGGGUGAGAUCCAAGUGUCUGCAUCGUGUAGAAGCUACCGAGGAACGCUACUUGUCUAUAUUUAAUGCAUGGAGUACCAGGGACUUACUCCAUAGAUCCCAGGUAAACCAAGUCCUCGCUGGUUCUGACCCAACCAUCUCUAAGCCUUCUGGCAUUUAUGCAAGUCCGGUUCUUGGGCCUCCUCCCUUGCUGGCUUUUGACCUGUGUGUGGAUCUCACUCUAAUAUUUCUUAUAUAUUUUGAGUCUGGCCUGCCCACCCAAAAUCAAUGGCACCUUUGUUCUAAUCUUUCAGACCAAUCAUGUGUUUCCUGAACCAUAAUUCUGCCUUGAGUACCUAUUUCUGGUCCACCAAUAUCAAGAAGGCACUAGUGAAGAUGAAGAAACCUGAUCUUCCAAGUCAAAGCAGGUAAAGCCCUUUGUCACGUGGUCCAAAUAACUUGGAUUUGUCACUUUUGACCUUAAGACCUAAGUCAGAAGUGAGCCUUAUCCUUGUCCUCAGUUCUACUCACUCCUCUAAUCUUGGUAAGUGAAAACCAUUACCGGGAACUUCAGCUGCAAUUCUGUUCUAUUGAUCAGUGAAAGGAGACCAUACCACUUAUUGAACAAUAAUUUGUUGAACCUUAAGAGGCUUUUCCACCCUAAAGGGUCAGAGAAGCCCCCCCUGGGGCCUGUAACUUUUGUGAAUCUUGAAAGGAGAAUCUUUCAACAGAAAAGAUUCAAGCCUAGGAAGAAGGAUGACCCCAAAAAUAUUGGUUUGAGGGAGUGUGAUACAAUCAGCAGAGUAGGUUAAUUCAGCAAAUGGUUGGCAGGAAGUGUUGGGAAAUGAAGUUAAGAAGGUAAAGGGGAAGAGAUACCUGGAGUCUUCCCCGUGGUGAGAAAUCGGGAUUUUUGUUCUGGACAAAGGGCUUUCUUGUUCUAAGGAAGCAGUAACUAAGGGUCUCCCUUCCCACCUGUUUCUCACUGAUUUCUUCCUAUCAUACAACUCAGGUCUUGGGAUUGUGGUCUGACUGAUGGGAGCACAGGUGGGAAGGGCCAAGUGCACACCCCGAAGCCCUCUUCCUGCCA
rnacentral:lncRNA from 12 species